rnacentral:rRNA from 1 species
CCAGCGUACUCUCUGGAGUGACGGGUACACUGUGGGGACCGCCGCUGCUAAAGCGGAGGAAGGAAUGGGCAACGGUAGGUCAGUAUGCCCCGAAUAUCCCGGGCUACACGCGAGCUACAAUGGUUGGUACAAUGGGUAUCUACCCCGAAAGGGGACGGGAAUCUCCUAAAACCAAUCUUAGUUCGGAUUGAGGGCUGCAACUCGCCCUCAUGAAGCUGGAAUCCGUAGUAAUCGCGUUUCAACAGAACGCGGUGAAUACGUCCCUGCUCCUU